UGCGAAUGGCUCAUUAAAUCAGUUAUCGUUUAUUUGAUAGUACCUUACUACUUGGAUAMCCGUGGUAAUUCUAGAGCUAAUACAUGCUAAAAACCCCAACUUCGGGAGGGGUGUAUUUAUUAGAUAAAAAACCAAUGCCCUUCGGGGCUCUUUGGUGAUUCAUGAUAACUUCUCAGAUCGCAUGGCCUUGCGCCGGCGACGGUUCAUUCAAAUUUCUGCCCUAUCAACUUUCGAUGGUAAGGUAUUGGCUUACCAUGGUUUCAACGGGUAACGGGGAAUUAGGGUUCGAUUCCGGAGAGGGAGCCUGAGAAACGGCUACCACAUCCAAGGAAGGCAGCAGGCGCGCAAAUUACCCAAUCCCGACACGGGGAGGUAGUGACAAUAAAUACUGAUACAGGGCUCUUUUGGGUCUUGUAAUUGGAAUGAGUACAAUUUAAACCUCUUAACGAGGAACAAUUGGAGGGCAAGUCUGGUGCCAGCAGCCGCGGUAAUUCCAGCUCCAAUAGCGUAUAUUAAAGUUGUUGCAGUUAAAAAGCUCGUAGUUGAACCUUUGGCCUGGCUGGCAGGUCCGCCUCACCGCGUGCACUUGUCCGGCCGGGCCUUCUCUUCUGGAGAACCGCAUGCCCUUCACUGGGUGUGUUGGGGACCAGGACUUUUACUUUGAAAAAAUUAGAGUGUUCAAAGCAGGCCUUUGCUCGAAUACGUUAGCAUGGAAUAAUAGAAUAGGACGUGCGGUCCUAUUUUGUUGGUUUCUAGGACCGCCGUAAUGAUUAAUAGGGACAGUCGGGGGCAUCAGUAUUCAAUUGUCAGAGGUGAAAUUCUUGGAUUUAUUGAAGACUAACUACUGCGAAAGCAUUUGCCAAGGAUGUUUUCAUUAAUCAGUGAACGAAAGUUAGGGGAUCGAAGACGAUCAGAUACCGUCGUAGUCUUAACCAUAAACUAUGCCGACUAGGGAUCGGGCGGUGUUUUUAUUAUGACCCGCUCGGCACCUUACGAGAAAUCAAA
rnacentral:rRNA from 1 species